UAACUGUGGAGCAUUGCUCUGAACGGUGGC
rnacentral:piRNA from 1 species